rnacentral:rRNA from 1 species
UACGUAGGGUGCGAGCGUUGUCCGGAAUUAUUGGGCGUAAAGGGCUCGUAGGCGGUUUGUCGCGUCGGGAGUGAAAACCUCGGGCUUAACUCGGGGCUUGCUUUCGAUACGGGCAGACUGGAGGUAUGCAGGGGAGAACGGAAUUCCUGGUGUAGCGGUGAAAUGCGCAGAUAUCAGGAGGAACACCGGUGGCGAAGGCGGUUCUCUGGACAGAUACCGACGCUGAGGCACGAAAGCUAGGGGAGCAAACAGG